rnacentral:rRNA from 1 species
GCCUUACAGCUAGCCCGUUAGAAAUAAAAGCAACACACCACUUAAAUAACCCCUAAAAUACUUAACACCUGAUAAACAAACCAUUUUACCCCCCUAGUAUGGGCGACAGAAAAGGGCACAGGAGCGAUAGAGAAAGUACCGCAAGGGAAAGCUGAAAGAGAAGUGAAAUAAAUCAGUUUAAGCCCAGCAAAGCAGAGAUUAAGACUUGUACCUUUUGCAUCAUGAUUUAGCUAGUAUAAAUCAAGCGAAGGGAACUUUAGUUUGAAACCCCGAAACCAAGUGAGCUACUCCGAGACAGCCUGACAAUAGGGCGAACCCGUCUCUGUCGCAAAAGAGUGGGAUGAGCUCCGAGUAGCAGUGAUAAGCCUACCGAACUUGGUUAUAGCUGGUUGCCCGGGAAAUGAAUAGCAGUUCAGCCCCACGGCUUCUCCUUUCAAUGCUGACUACUUCCACUGAUAGCUGAAGAAUACCGCGGGAGUUAGUCAAAGGGGGUACAGCCCCUUUGACAUAGGACACAACCUUCCCAGGAGGGUAAAGAUCAUAAUUAGUACAAGGUCUUAUGUUCUGGUGGGCUUGAAAGCAGCCACCCUAUUAGAAAGCGUUAAACCUCAGACAUAAAGUACACCUAUUAUUCGGAUAAUCUUAUCUCAGCCCCCUAAUCUUACCGGACCUAUCCAUACCAAUAUGGAAGUGACUAUGCUAAUAUGAGUAAUAAGAGAGCCAAGCCUCUCUCCUUGCACGAGUGUAAAUCGGAACGAACCCGCACCGAGUCUUAACGGCCCCAAAAGAAGAGGGUAAUGGGCCACAAAUAGAUAACAAGAAAAGUACCCAACCGCAAUAAACCGUUAACCCCACACUGGUGUGCCUCCAAGGAAAGACUAAAAGAAAAAGAAGGAACUCGGCAAACAUAAUUAAAGCCUCGCCUGUUUACCAAAAACAUCGCCUCUUGCAAAAUCAAAGUAUAAGAGGUCCCGCCUGCCCUGUGACUAUAUGUUUAACGGCCGCGGUAUUUUGACCGUGCGAAGGUAGCGCAAUCACUUGUCUUUUAAAUGGAGACCUGUAUGAAUGGCAUAACGAGGGCUUAACUGUCUCCUUUUUCAGGUCAAUGAAAUUGAUCUCCCCGUGCAGAAGCGGGGAUAAAGACAUAAGACGAGAAGACCCUGUGGAGCUUUAGACACUAAGGCAGACCAUGUUAAUAACCCCUAGACAAAGGCUAAAACAAGAUGACCCCUGCCCGCAUGUUUUUGGUUGGGGCGACCGUGGGGGAAAAAAUAACCCCCAUGCGGACCGGGAGGACUUCUCCUAGAAGCAAGAACCACAGUUCUAACUAACAGAACUUCUGACCUAUAAGAUCCGGCUGACGCCGAUCAACGGACCGAGUUACCCCAGGGAUAACAGCGCAAUCCCCUUUGAGAGCCCCCAUCGAUAAGAGGGUUUACGACCUCGAUGUUGGAUCAGGACAUCCUGAUGGUGCAGCCGCUAUUAAGGGUUCGUUUGUUCAACGAUUAAAGUCCUACGUGAUCUGAGUUCAGACCGGAGUAAUCCAGGUCAGUUUCUAUCUAUGAAGCGACCUUUUCUAGUACGAAAGGACCGAAAAGAGGAGGCCAAUGCUUUAAACAAGCCUCUCCCUGAUUCACUGUAGACAACUAAAAUGAGUAAUAGGGCGCCCGUUGUUUAGCCGGAGAAAACGGCUU